rnacentral:rRNA from 1 species
GCUGGCGGCAGGCCUAACACAUGCAAGUCGAGCGGUAACAGGUCCAGCUUGCUGGAUGCUGACGAGCGGCGGACGGGUGAGUAACGCAUAGGAAUCUACCCGGUAGUGGGGGAUAACCUGGGGAAACCCAGGCUAAUACCGCAUACGUCCUACGGGAGAAAGGGGGCUUAGGCUCCCGCUAUUGGAUGAGCCUAUGCCGGAUUAGCUGGUUGGUGAGGUAAUGGCUCACCAAGGCGACGAUCCGUAGCUGGUCUGAGAGGAUGAUCAGCCACAUCGGGACUGAGACACGGCCCGAACUCCUACGGGAGGCAGCAGUGGGGAAUAUUGGACAAUGGGGGCAACCCUGAUCCAGCCAUGCCGCGUGUGUGAAGAAGGCCCUCGGGUUGUAAAGCACUUUCAGCGAGGAAGAACGCCUGUCGGUUAAUACCCGGCAGGAAAGACAUCACUCGCAGAAGAAGCACCGGCUAACUCCGUGCCAGCAGCCGCGGUAAUACGGAGGGUGCAAGCGUUAAUCGGAAUUACUGGGCGUAAAGCGCGCGUAGGUGGCUUGAUAAGCCGGUUGUGAAAGCCCCGGGCUCAACCUGGGAACGGCAUCCGGAACUAUGAGGCUAGAGUGCAGGAGAGGAAGGUAGAAUUCCCGGUGUAGCGGUGAAAUGCGUAGAGAUCGGGAGGAAUACCAGUGGCGAAGGCGGCCUUCUGGACUGACACUGACACUGAGGUGCGAAAGCGUGGGUAGCAAACAGGAUUAGA